CUACGGGACGCUCCAGCAGGGAAUAUUGCACAAUGGACGGAAGUCUGAUGCAGCGACGCCGCGUGGAUGAUGAAGGCCCUCGGGUUGUAAAAUCCUUUUCAGGGGGACGAGGAAGGACGGUACCCUUGGAAUAAGCGUCGGCUAACUACGUGCCAGCAGCCGCGGUAAGACGUAGGACGCAAGCGUUAUCCGGAUUUACUGGGCGUAAAGCGUCUGUAGGCGGAAUGGUAAGUUGGACGUGAAAGCUCCGGGCUCAACUCGGAGAGGUCGUUCAAUACUGCCAAACUAGAGGGCAUCAGAGGAGCGUGGAAUUUCCGGUGUAGCGGUAAAAUGCGCAGAUAUCGGAAGGAACACCAAUGGCGAAGGCAGCGCUCUGGGAUGAACCUGACGCUAAGAGACGAAAGCUAGGGGAGCGAACAGGAUUAGAUACCCCCGUAGUC
rnacentral:rRNA from 1 species